rnacentral:rRNA from 1 species
AUUGAACGCUGGCGGCAGGCUUAACACAUGCAAGUCGAGCGGAGAUGAGGUGCUUGCACCUUAUCUUAGCGGCGGACGGGUGAGUAAUGCUUAGGAAUCUGCCUAUUAGUGGGGGACAACAUUCCGAAAGGAAUGCUAAUACCGCAUACGCCCUACGGGGGAAAGCAGGGGAUCUUCGGACCUUCCGCUAUUAGAUGAGCCGAAGUCGGAGUAGCUAGUUGGUGGGGUAAAGGCCCACCAAGGCGACGAUCUGUAGCGGGUCUGAGAGGAUGAGCCGCCACACUGGGACUGAGACACGGCCCAGACUCCUACGGGAGGCAGCAGUGGGGAAUAUUGGACAAUGGGCGGAAGCCUGAUCCAGCCAUGCCGCGUGUGUGAAGAAGGCCUUUUGGUUGUAAAGCACUUUAAGCGAGGAGGAGGCUACCUGGAUUAAUACUCUAGGAUAGUGGACGUUACUCGCAGAAUAAGCACCGGCUAACUUCGUGCCAGCAGCCGCCGUAAUAC